GGAAUCCCACCGGGCAAGGUUUAGCCAACCACCCGUAGCCAGCCUUGGAGCAUAGCUGGUAACAGCUAUGUUUAAGCGUAGGCAGGCGAGACAGCGGGCCGAAAGCCGCAAGGUUGAAGGGAUUGAGCUUCG
rfam:Syntrophaceticus schinkii strain Sp3 genome assembly, contig: SSCH_Contig_49